ACUGAACCUUAUCAUUUAKAGGAAGGAGAAGUCGUAACAAGGUUUCCGUAGGUGAACCUGCGGAAGGAKCAUUGUGGAAACCYUUCACAGCAGAACGACCCGUGAACUUAUAAAACACAACUUGGGGGCGAGGGGUCAACCCGAACCCCCUUGGUGGGUGGGCGGUGGGUCGGGCAUUGAUGCCCGAUGUUACUGUCUUCCCCGCUAUACAAAUGAACCCCGGCGCAGGACGCGCCAAGGAACUCAAACGAAUCAAGCAUGCCCCGGCGCCCCAGAGAUGGUAUGCGUUCGGGGUGCUGCAUCGUAUUCUAUAUGUCAAAACGACUCUCGGCAACGGAUAUCUCGGCUCUCGCAUCGAUGAAGAACGUAGCGAAAUGCGAUACUUGGUGUGAAUUGCAGAAUCCCGUGAACCAUCGAGUCUUUGAACGCAAGUUGCGCCCGAAGCCACUAGGCUGAGGGCACGUCUGCCUGGGCGUCACACAACGUUGCCCCCCCAACCCCACCCCGUCUUCUGGGGGAGGGAGGGGGCAGAUGCUGGCCUCCCGUGCGCAAUUGCUCGCGGUUGGCCCAAAUGCAAGCACCCGGCGACGAGCGCCGCGGCAAUCGGUGGAUGUCCAACCCUCGGUGCAACGCCGCGCGCGCGAGCCGCUCAUCGGUGCUGGUGACCCCCAAUGCGCUGCACACGCGCAGUCCACAACGCGACCCCAGGUCAGGCGGGGCUACCCGCUGAGUUU
rnacentral:rRNA from 1 species